rnacentral:tRNA from 1 species
CUGGACGUAGUGCAGCGGCAGCACGCCUGAUUCGGAUUCAGGAGGUCGCACCUUCACUCCUUGCCGUUCAAACCA